AAAAAGGGCUUCUGCCGUGACUGGCACACGCCGGGCAGCUCGGUUGCUCUGCGUGCGGAAUCGACAUCAAGAGAUUUCGGAAGCAUAAUUUUUGAGCCCCUGGGCAGCUGGUGAACGUUGGUCCCGGCGCCCUA